GACGAACGCUGGCGGCGUGCCUAAUACAUGCAAGUCGAACGCAGUGGGGACAGGUGAGUAACACGUGGUUAACCUCCCAUCAGAGGGGAUAACACUUGGAAAAAGGUGCUAAACCGAUACUGAUGGAUGGACGCUGGGUGCAUUAGCUAGUUGGUGAGGGAACGGCUCACCAAGGCCACGAUGCAUAGCCGGCCUGAGAGGGUGAUCGGCCACACUGGGACGGAGACACGGCCCAGACUCCUACGGGAGGCAGCAGUAGGGAAUAUUCGGCAAUGGACGAAAGUCUGACCGAGCAAUGCCGCGUGAGUGAAGAAGGUUUUCGGAUCGUAAAACUCUGUUGUUAGAGAGGCGGUACCUAACCAGAAAGCCACGGCUAACUACGUGCCAGCAGCCGCGGUAAUAC
rnacentral:rRNA from 1 species